rnacentral:rRNA from 1 species
UACGGGAGGCAGCAGUGGGGAAUAUUGCACAAUGGGCGAAAGCCUGAUGCAGCUAUGCCGCGUGUAUGAAGAAGGCCUUAGGGUUGUAAAGUACUUUCAUCGGGGAGGAAAAAACAAAACUAAUAAUUUUAUUUCUUGACGUUACCCGAAAAAGAAGCACCGGCUAACUCCGUGCCAGCAGCCGCGGUAAUACGGAGGGUGCUAGCGUUAAUCAGAAUUACUGGGCGUAAGGAGCACGUAGGUGGUUUUUUUAAGUCAGAUGUGAAAUCCCUGGGCUUAACCUAGGAACUGCAUUUUGAAACUGAAAUACUAGAGUAUCGUAGAGGGAGGUAGAAUUCUAGGUGUAGCGGUGAAAUGCGUAGAUAUCUGGAGGAAUACCUGUGGCGAAAGCGGCCUCCUAAACGAAUACUGACACUGAGGUGCGAAAGCGUGGGGAGCAAACGAGGGAUUAGAUACC